GGAAUAUCAAAUAAGUCUCCUACUUAUUUUUCAUCUUAAUUUUUGCAAAAUUGAUAGGGGAGGCACUCUCUUCUUCUUUCUUUUCUAGUUCUAUUUCGAUUUCACAAGGAGGGAAAGGAGGGUUUUGUUUCCGGCGUCUCAAUAGUGUGAGGAGCUCGUUUCGUUAGCGUUCUUGUGGUGGUGGAGAUCGUGGAAGCUCCCUCUUUCAAAGCAAACUGCAACAACAACAGAAUGAGCUGCAACUUUCAUUUCGCGUUUCAGAUUAGGGUUUUGUGUUGGGAAUUUUAGGGUUUUGUUUCUUGUGUUCUUGAUUAUUUUCUGCACAUUUGGUUUCACAAUUUAGUGUUAGGGUUCCUACGGUUGGUUUUUCCUGUGAUGUUGUGAUUUGAGGUUUUCGUUUUCGAUUUAGAUUUUUGCUUGUGAAUCUGACUUUUGUAAUGAGGGAUUUUGAGUGUUUCUUCUCUGUUUUGUGAUUGAACAAAAGCUUUUACAUAUAUCUCUG
rnacentral:sRNA from 1 species